AACGCUUCUUCAUCUUCUCUUUACCCGACAAGCGUCUUGUGUUCCCAUUCUCACACGUGAACAGCGAUGCACAUAGCUCAAGCGGCUCCACCAGCUGCUUGUUCGCAGCUGUACGAAGAAAAAGGUCUAAGUUCUGUACAUAUUUGUCAUCUUUCGUCAUCAGCUUGUGUUUUUUCUCAGACAUUACCGCCACCGUAUCUCGUGACUCUUCCUCGUUAUCCGUCCAGUAACUUUUGUCUUCCAUAGCAAGAUCAUCGUACUCCUCAUCUGACUUUGUAGAUUCCUCAUCAACUGAUCCCACCUUUAGAAAACCACCCCAACACUCUUUUAAUUUUUUUUUUUUUUUUUGGUCAAAGCACUCUUUUAAUUUAUGAAACAAAAAGACCAUAUGAAAAUACUUUUACGGUUGUACCUCUUCAUGGUCUUGCUUGUUAUCAUCGUCGUCAUCGCUAAAAUCUGUAUCAUGCUCAUCAGGAGGAUCGUCCUCACCUUCUUCAUCGCUACCAUGCACGGACUGCUCCUCCUUAAGCUGAAGGAAGAAGAUUAACAUAUAAGAUACAAGAAAAACAAAAUAGAACUUCUAUAAAUUAAUAAAUUUUAUCAAAAUAUAAAACAAACCGAUAAAAUAAUAAAAUAAUAUUUUUUUUAGAAAAUCCUUGGUAAAUAUAUAGUCUCAUUAAAAUUAAUAAUUUAUUUAUAUUACAAUAUUAAUUUAUAGAGCUUUUCAUGUACCUCUUUGGAAGUUCCUUCAGACAUCCUAGGAGAACUGCAGCAAGAAGAGUAAUGCCUACUUCCAUUUUCCCCCAAGUCAGCUCUAGAAUCAUAAUCUACACUCCCAGCACGGCUCGUGGCUCCAUCACUAGGCCAAGCACUAAUCCCAAACAAACCAAACUGAAGAUUCACCGGUUCAGCUUUCUGCAAGUAUCCAUAAACCGGAUGCACCAUUCCAUUCCCCUCCAUCGUCUCAUCAACCUUACCACCAAGAGGCCAAGUCCUUGAGAAAGUUCCAUCGGUGUUGAGAAGAGCCAUUAGAUGCCUAGAAGAGCCUUGUCUUUGAAUCAGCUGAAACAUUCCUUUGGAACUCAACGAGUUAGCUGUACACUGGUUCCUGUACUCGUCGUCGAUCACAGAGACGGUAUUCGUGGUGGCAUCAUAGAGCUGCUCUCCUGCUUCACGCCUACGUAAGCAGGAGAAGACCGUGGCGUGGAUGGCAGCCACACUUUUGUCGACGUUGGUGUUGUUUAUCUUGGGGACGAGAUGUUUGUCAGCUCGUUUACAGAGGUAGUCCUGUAUUGUUCUGAUGUUGCGUAUGUAUUUGACGUACUUGUUUUUCUCUGGGUCUAGGGUCAUGUACUUGGCUCUGACUGCAAACCGUUCCAAGUGUUUCUCCUCGUUCGAGAUGUAAACCAUGAAAGGAACAAUCGACGGAUGCUUCUUCAUCAGUCCCAUCUGCAUGAGGAAGAUGGUUAUAACUAAACUCUCAAAAUAGAAAUGUGUCUAGUGUUACAUCUUGAAAUGUCUUAAAUCUCAGUGCACCAGUAAAAGCCCAACAUUCGUCGGGGCUGAUAUAAAUAAAGGUCUAAGUGAUUGUAAAGUGAUUCAUUAACAUAAUAAUAUACAAACUCUAAACGGAUAUUUGUCUUUGUUUUCUUCAAUUUUUGAUUCGUGUUUGUUCACAACAUCUAAAGAGUGGGGCUUACCACAAAGUUAAGGCUUAGAUGGACACCUUCAACAACCACAGACUCUUUCCUUUCUUCCCAAGCUGUAAUGAGCCUAUCGAGAUUCUCAAUCACCAUCUCACUUUGAGCUUUGAAUCCUUCUACAGCCAUCUGCUUGUGACUUAACAAAGCUGCAACAGUGGUAGUGGUGGUUGGUUUGUCAUCCUCAACUGUUGAUUUUCCAUAAUUUUUUUUGGCUCUUCUUCUUUUGGCUUUUGAUUCUGCGACUGCCACAGGGUCAAGGCACUCUCCCGCGUGGUAAGUUGAAGCCCACAGCAAAGGAUCUUGCUUCUCAUCAACGAAACUCCUCAUCAUGUGACGGAUUGAGUCGGUCGAGACUACUGUUGUAAUCCCCAGCCUGCUGCCCUGUAAACACAAAAUGCAACACUGUAAGUAAAAGAGCAAAGCUUCUUAUGUUUAUUUAAAGCUCAUCAGUGGUUGUAAUUAAGAAUACCAGAAGUGCGGAGAGUGUAGAUUUGCCACAGCCACUAGUGCCGCAUAGUAGAACAGUCACAGAUUCUUUUCUUUCUCGAAUCCUGCAGGAAACGAUAGGAACUAUUUAGAUGAUUUUCCACCACAUAUAUGUAUGUUUCUUGAGUUAAAGGUAAGAAGAGUUACUUGCAGGCCAGGAUCAAGUCUGCUCUUUGGUCAUGGCCGACGUACUUAUAUUCAGCGAGAGCGUGACAGACAACGUUAACGAAUAUUUCUCGUGGAACAACAACGGUUGUGCGCCUUUUAUGCAUCUCAAAGGGCUUACUUUUACUCUUGUCAACAUCAUCGGUAGUAGACGAAAAGCUAACCUUUUCUACACCAGCACAAGCUGAAGCAGCAUCACACGUCUUGUCAAAUACAGAUUCUUUCCCGUGCGUGGGAGAAAGUAUUAGGGUGCCUUCACUUCUUAUUAACUCAAAAACCCUCCGGCUAAUCUGACCACAAGCAACAAAAAAAAAAACAGAACUUGAGAUUACAAACACCAUAAAGCUUGAAACUUUAGUAUUUUACUUUUAGACAAAACACAAAAGGGUACCUUUACAAGGUAUCAAAGAGAGUCAUGAAAAAGACUUUGAGCACACACACACACACACACUAAUGAGUGCAACAAGAGAAUACAAUUAGACUACAUGACACAAGUUUGGUAAAAUAAUAAUAAUUCUGGAGCUGUGAGUGCAUUAACAUCAAUGAAAGAAUAGACAUUAGUAAUGCCAAACUACGAAAUUAAGACCAAAAAAAAACAUGCUUUGAUCUUUGUCUGAAUCUAGACACAUCACUAUAAGUUUAUAACAGAAUGCAAUUUAUAUGAAAUUAAAUCUCAAACCAUUACACGACAAAAACAGAAUCAGAAUCCGAGGAAAGCGAUGUUUUGUAGGAAACAAAUUACGGUUUAUGGGUUUUUGAUUUAGUUAUUUUGUUUCUUGAUAAGAAAGGUAAAGAUUUAUAUAUAUAUUCCAGGAACCGUAAGGUUUUAUCAAAUUUAAUGAGAAAAUUUCAAGCAACCUCGUAAAGUUGGAAGAUUUUGUAGUAUCUUUACACUUUUUGUUUGACGAAAUUUAAUGAUUUUGAGUAAAAAUGUAUAAGAAAAAGAAAAUUUGUUUUAUUUUGAACUUUACAGUGUUUUUACUUAUAAAUUCGUAAAAUACUAAAAUGAUAGAUGUUAAAAAAAAUUAAACACAUGUAAGUAUAAAUUAUUUUAAACAUAUUUAUUUUCUAUAAUAUAAAUAAAUUUAAAGAUGUAAUAUAUGAGAAAUGUAUAAAUUAAAGAAAAAACAUAUUUUGAAGGAGGUUCUCUAUUUAAUUAUGUCAUAUUGUUAUUUUAUUGUACUUAAUAUAAAAAUAUAUUAGUAAGUAAAAAAAUUGAUAAUCAAAGUAAAAUAUAUUAAGCAAAUCAUUAUAUAUAAUAAUUCCGAAUAAGAAAUAUAAACAACAAUAUUAUAGAGUUACACAAUACAUAACACUAAAAUGCAAAUUAUAUAAAUAAAACGUUUGUAAUAAUAUUAAAUACAGUUAUCAAAUUUAAAAAUAUACGAACGGACGUGCAAGUAGAAUUUCAAAAUAUGGAAAGGAAAAUUAUGCGAUCUACAAAAAAAAAAAAGUGAGUAAAAUUUUUUGGGCUUGGCAAGGCUAAAAAUAUAUAUUAUUAUUUAAUGGUAUUUUCUCUAAAAUCGCGGUAGAGAUGCAUAAGUUUACAGUUGGCGUUCCGCUGGCAAAUGACAAUAGCUAUAAAAAAAGCCUAAUGGUCCGUACACAUCAACGAUGGCAAAAAGCGUGAAAAUGUCAUUACCAAUUUAUAAAUAUGUCUCUUGAGCAUUCCAUGUGGUCGACUCAUUAUCUUAAAACAAGUUCCCACAAAAAUGCUCUAACGUUUCUGAACUUUAUAGAUCUUACAUAGGUUAUUUAGAAAAUUUCGCAAGAUAUUCGCAUAUUCUCAUGGCUCACUAAACGAAAUGAUAAGUUGAUUUUCUUUAACCUUCCCUAAUAUUGUAUCAUCUCAAUGCAUAACUUCUAUACUCGUCACAUUUUGUUUUGGAUAAUUAUGAUUUUAAGUUCUUGUAAUCUUAUAAACUUAAGAGGUUUUACAAGUGACCAUUUAACAAAUUAAGGUUUAAUAAUGUUUUUGUUUCCAAUGGUUUUAGUUUUAUUGUUUUCUCAUGUAGGGAAGGCAACUAUAAAAGUCCAAUGUUUAUAGGUUAUGAAAUUCAAAUCUUGUGGGGAAGUCAGACAAAAAAAACUCUUUCCUAACAUGAGUAAUGGCUCAUUGACUUCUUAUAUAUUUGUUCAAAAAAGUUAAUGUCCAUGGCUUAUCUUAUUGCAAUUUGGUAGACUUUCAAAGCAUCAUAUAUAUGUUAAAAUAAGAAUGCAAACAGCUUAGAUGGUAUAUUAAUUUCUUCUGCAUAUCAAGUUGGUUAAUUUCAUUUGGAUAUAACGGAUCAAAAAAUUAAAUAAUCUAUGUUAUUACUUACAUUUUUUGGGAACUCGGUUGUUAAAAAAUACUCUUUCUGUUCUUUAAAGAUCUAUUUUUUAGGAAAAAAAUUGUUUUUAAAAAGAUACAUUUUUUACAUUAAUUAAUGAAAAAUUAUAUUUUUCAAAAAAUACAAUUGUGUUUAAUAAAAUCUCAUUGGUUAAAAGUUAUUGAGAAUAGUUAAUUAAGAAAAAUAAUGUAUUGAAAAAUAUAAUUUUAAAUAUUUUCUUAAUAAGUGUGAAAAAACUAUAACAUGGAUCUUUUAGGAAAGUAGGGAGUAGAAAAUUGGAAUUAAACAAAGUUGGCAAUUUUAAGAAAUUGUUUAAGUUAGCAUAUACUAUAAGAAAAUAGCCUUUACUGUUCUGGUUUAGUUAAGAGAUAUAUAUAUAUAUAUAUAUAUACAAUGAAUUGAUACCUAAACCAGUUUGGGUUGGUUAUGUCUUUAAGUUGCUCAAAAUAAAUAACAUUGUAUAUCUUUUUAUUGUUAAGUUCUUUUUUUUAUUUUAACAAAAUAUUUAUUAUAAUUUUUGCCUUUUUCUAAUGGUUCAAGUUUAAUAUGCGAAUCAGACAAAUUGAAAGAUUCAGAUAUGAUUUUAGAUUGGCUUUUCAACAUAGUUUGGAUUGGGUAGAUACGGGCUUUUGGAGUGAACAAACACUAAUAUAGACUUCAAGUGGCUACAUUCAAAAGUAAACGGUGUGAAAUAGAUUAGAGUCAAAAGUUGUGGGUUAAAGAGAUAUGUACUUUUGAAUGACGGCAAUUUUCAGGUAAGAUGAACGUGGAGCUGGAGCUUGUUCACCAGAAAAGUGGUUGAUGCUUAACGUGCUCAUAUAAUGUUAUAAUUUUUUUUUGUUCUGAUAGGUGCUAACUAUUGACUUACGUAACAAUUAACAUACAUUAAUGAUAAUUCAAUUGACUUAUCUGUGAAUACUAUUUUAAAAACCGUACAGAUCACAGCAUUAGGUUCUGUCCGUAUGAUGCGGAAGUAGUACGGCCUUCUCUCUCUGACUGUAAUCCUCGUCACUCAAACAAUUGAACUUUUUACACGUCAUCUAGUUAUCUUACUCUCGUCCGGUAGACAAAAGUUCUUAUGAUGUUUGCAAUAUUUUUUACAAAACUAAUUAAAUUGCAUAUAUUUUCGUUAUGAUUAAUAGCUAACUUUACCAGAAUAAAACAAAAGCUGAACCCAAAAUCCUUCUAAUUUGAAUAACAAACAUCUAUCGUUGCAUAUAUUUUUGAAAUUAGUUUAACUUUCGGCAUAAGAUUUACAGUGGAAAAAAGAAAAGCAAGUAAUGACACCCAAAUUGUAUAUGGCUGCCUACAAGUUAAGCAAACUGUGAGGAAGAGACAGAAAUUUAGUUGGGGCUUGAUGAGCUCCCUUAAAGCACAAGAUGCUAUCAUGGAACAGAGAGAAGUGGCCUUAUUCGACUCGAUGACUUUUUUUUGCUCAAAUGAGUGUGUUAUUAUUGGUUUAUAUAUUUUGAUUGAUUUAGAAAUUCAUGUAGUAUUUAUAAAUCUAAGUAAAAUAUACAGAUUUUUAAAUUUUUUCGGAUUAGUAUUUACAAAUCCGAAGGUUUUCCUUCAGAUUUGAGUCUUUGUAUUUUUAACAAAAAAAUCCAAAAAAAUCUAUUCAAAAAUCCAUUAUUAAAUCAAAUUUAUUAAUAAAUCCGUACAAUUGAAUAACACUUGAUUUGAUAUAUAAUUUAUGAAUCAUUAAACCAAUAACACAUUAUUUUAAUACAGAUUUGAAAAUCAUAAAACUAAUAACACUAGAUUUAGUUCGGAUUUUCAAAUCCAUUAAAAUAUAACAACCAAUAAUCCCACUAAGAAUACUACUGAAACAGAAAAAGCUAAGAGCAUGUCCGAUGGAAAAUUUUCUUUUUGAAGUUCUAAACAUACAUAUAUGUAUGUCUAUAUGGAUAGUAGUAUUUAAUUGUGGAUAUUUUAAAGUUACGAAAACCCAACCGAAAGGUUCUGCUUUUAAAAAUUUUGGUUAAAUUUUCCGUAACUUCAAGAUUCCACAAUUAAAUAAUUUUAUUUAUAUAUACACACACAUCUUGUAUAUAUGUUGUUAGAACUCCCUAAUGGGAGUACUCUUAAGAUAUAAAACGAUGUUAAGUACAAAAUUACACAAACUACUUUUUGGAACCUACAGAAUACUUGCGCAUUCGGAACAAUAGCAAUAGAUAACACAUUAAAACACACUAACUACCCUCAAAUGUGUUUAUUUCUGGACCACUAUUUCCGACCGUGUCUUAAUUCUGCACUGUCGUCUGCAUAAACUGUCAAAAGUUAGAAUCUAAACUCUUUAAGUGACAAGAAUAAGAAAAAGCGUAUUUAGACAACCCAAAGUUUGAGACACGUUAAAACUAUACACACACACACAAAACUUAAACUACAGACUACACAGAACUCAGGAAUUUACUUGCAAAGGAUCAUGGGGCACCCAAAACAAUCGUAUCUCCCAAACCCGACCCGCGUUUUCCAAGAGCCGAGAUGCUAAGAGAACGCUUCUUCAUCUUCUCUUUACCCGACAAGCGUCUUGUGUUCCCAUUCUCACACGUGAACAGCGAUGCACAUAGCUCAAGCGGCUCCACCAGCUGCUUGUUCGCAGCUGUACGAAGAAAAAGGUCUAAGUUCUGUACAUAUUUGUCAUCUUUCGUCAUCAGCUUGUGUUUUUUCUCAGACAUUACCGCCACCGUAUCUCGUGACUCUUCCUCGUUAUCCGUCCAGUAACUUUUGUCUUCCAUAG
rnacentral:lncRNA from 1 species